rnacentral:rRNA from 1 species
AUUGAACGCUGGCGGCAGGCCUAACACAUGCAAGUCGAGCGGCAGCGGAAAGUAGCUUGCUACUUUGCCGGCGAGCGGCGGACGGGUGAGUAAUGUCUGGGAAACUGCCUGAUGGAGGGGGAUAACUACUGGAAACGGUAGCUAAUACCGCAUAACGUCGCAAGACCAAAGAGGGGGACCUUCGGGCCUCUUGCCAUCAGAUGUGCCCAGAUGGGAUUAGCUAGUAGGUGGGGUAACGGCUCACCUAGGCGACGAUCCCUAGCUGGUCUGAGAGGAUGACCAGCAACACUGGAACUGAGACACGGUCCAGACUCCUACGGGAGGCAGCAGUGGGGAAUAUUGCACAAUGGGCGCAAGCCUGAUGCAGCCAUGCCGCGUGUAUGAAGAAGGCCUUCGGGUUGUAAAGUACUUUCAGCGGGGAGGAAGGUGCUGAGGUUAAUAACCUCAGCAAUUGACGUUACCCGCAGAAGAAGCACCGGCUAACUCCGUGCCAGCCGCCGCAGUAA